rnacentral:tRNA from 1 species
GGUCUUGUAUUCAAUAUAAUGAUUAUAGAAUGCAAUUCUAUAGGAGUAGAAAAUUCUACUAAGACUU